CCCUUAGAUGUUCUGGGCCGCACGCGUGCUACACUGAACGGUUCAAUGGGUAAGGUAGUGCGAAAGCAUGACCUAAUCUCGAAAUCCGUUCGUGCUGGGGAUAGAAGCUUGCAAUUAUCCUUCUUGAACGAGGAAUACCUUGUAAGCGUGAGUCGUCAUCUCACGCUGAAUACGUCCCUGCCCUUUGUACACACCGCCCGUCGCUCCUACCGAUUGAAUGAUCCGAUGAAUAUCAUGGAUUGAGGAUGCAAGUAGGUUCGCCUAUCUUCAUCUUCGAGAAGUGAAGUAAAUCUUAUCAUUUAGAGGAAGGAGAAGUCGUAACA
rnacentral:rRNA from 1 species